AUCAGUGACGCUCAGAUCAAAAUAGUUAAAAAGCCGAAUAAAUACAAAGUUGAAGAGCAUUGAGGAUCCAAAAUUCCAAAAAGUUGUGCCAAAUACGGCUAAGGUUAUCUGCUCCUGGGGUAAGAAAAUCCUUAGUUUUUCGAAAAAUUCAAAGUUUUGUAAACAGAAAAUUUAUAAAAAUGACCAUAUAAUUGAUAUUCAUGUCAACACCGA
rnacentral:lncRNA from 1 species